AAUCUCUUUCUUCUUCCCCGAUAGGAGGAGGAGAACAUUACUUUCAUCGCCAUUCAUGAAAAUCCAAGUGCUAAAAUUUGCACUAUUUGUAUGGAUGAUUGAAUGAUGGAUUAUCAACUGCUUGCGGCUGAGGAGACGAAGAAGAAGACGAGGGAAUUGGGGUUUAGUGGGAUUUUUGGAUCUCCCAACUUUAUUUUGUCUUUUUUUCUGCCCUCAAAGUUCCCAUGGCCGGAGGUAAAAGCCCGAGUCCUUACGUUUCAGUUUUAUAAUGGUUGAGCAUCGAGACGGGUUUCAGCCUUUCAGGUUGGAACAGAACCAUGGCGAUGAUGAUUAUGAUUCCAUGGAAGAAACGACUGCUCAUCUCAAAUCAAACCUUAAUUCCAUCAUCUCUCAACAAGAUUUUUCUCUAAAUCGUCUCUCCAAAACGUUGUGAGCUGAUAUGGCAGUGGUUGGAUGGUAUGUUCAGCUUUUUGAAUCCUGGUAACUUUGAUGAUGUUCUUACCCUAGCUAAAACAUAAAGUCCCGCAAUAAAGGAACUACAGAUAAAUGCUGCUUUCAUUCCUAUGAAGGAGCUGUGGUUUAUGAGAAACAGGUGUGUGUUUGAAAAUGAGAGUUUUAAUGUUGCUGAUAUCAAGAGAAGAAUCCGUGCUUUUAUGUGGAAUUCUUCUCGAGGCCUCAUACCUCUUAUGGCUUGCAAGUUCCGAGGAGUUUUGGGUUGCAGUGCAGAAGAUUUAAAAGGGUUAGACUAGAAGAAAUCUUUUUCAGCUUCCUCAGCCGAAUCAUCUUCUAUUCUGCUGUGAUGGGGCCUCAAGAGGAAACCCUGAGGAGGCCGGCUAUGGUUUUUAUUGGAAGAAGUAGUAAUAGUAUUUGUGGUAGCGAUUUCUGGUGGGUUAGGGGUAGCCACUAAUUACAUUGAAUGUAUAAUGGCAAUUCUGUGUGCAGGGGAAUGGGCGGUUAGUUAAGGUUUUCUCAAGGUCUGCUUUGGGACUGAUUCUCAGUCUGUUUUUGUGGUGUUUUCCUCAAAGAAGUUACCUUGGUAUGCAAUUACCAGGUGGAACAGAUUAUGUGUUGAUCUAACAAGCCGGAGCUUAAUUUACUCAUAGUUACAGAGAAGUAAGCUUCUCUACAGAUGGUUUAGCAAGGAUGGGUUUUAGUUUACCUAUGGGAGAGAUGCAAAUUUUUGUAACUAGACCUGAGUUUAGUGAGAAUCGAAAGUACCUAGCAGUCUUACUUCA